UAGUCCACGCCGUAAACGAUGUCAACUAGUCGUCGGAUCCUUCGGGGUUUGGUGACGCAGCUAACGCGUGAAGUUGACCGCCUGGGGAGUACGGCCGCAAGGUUAAAACUCAAAGGAAUUGACGGGGACCCGCACAAGCGGUGGAGCAUGUGGUUUAAUUCGAUGCAACGCGAAGAACCUUACCUGCCCUUGACAUACUCGGAACUUUCCAGAGAUGGAUUGGUGCCUUCGGGAAUCGAGAUACAGGUGCUGCAUGGCUGUCGUCAGCUCGUGUCGUGAGAUGUUGGGUUAAGUCCCGCAACGAGCGCAACCCUUGUCCUUAGUUGCCAGCACGUAAUGGUGGGAACUCUAGGGAGACUGCCGGUGACAAACCGGGAGGAAGGUGGGGACGACGUCAAGUCAUCAUGGCCCUUAUGAAUUGGGGCUACACACGUGCUACAAUGGUGGAUACAAAGAG
rnacentral:rRNA from 1 species